CUUUAACAUUAUAGUUGGGUUAGUCUCCUCUUAUUAUUGAUGUCCUUUAGUAGUGGUUUCUACUUUAACAUUAUAGAUAGUCUCCUCUUAUUAUUGGUGUCCUUUAGUAGUGGUUUCUACUUUAACAUUAUAGUUGGUCUCCUCUUAUUAUUGGUGUCCUUUAGUAGUGGUUUCUACUUUAACAUUAUAGUUGGGUUAGUCUCCUCUUCUUAUGUCUUCUUCUUCUGUGAUGGUGUCGGGUGUCCUCUCCUGCUCUGGUCUGUCUCUCAGGUGUCUUACAGGUGUCCUCUCCUGCUCUGGUCUGUCUCUCCCAGUCUGGUACAGGUGUCCUCUCCUGCUCUGGUCUGUCUCUCCCAGUCUGGUACAGGUGUCCUCUCCACUCUCUCUCUCCCCGUAGCUUUGCUCUCCUACAUCACACAUUUAUGACUUGUUGACUGAUCUGCUGUUGGACUAUUUGAUUAGUGAUUGUUACUAUGUUUGUAUUAUUAUUUAGGAUUGUUUUUAGCUCAUUUAAUGAGGGUUCAGCAUUGUGUUGGCUACAUGUCUUAGAUUGCUUAGUGCUGUGUUUCUCUCAGAUCAAAGAUGAGGCAAUAAAGGAUCAUGUUGCUGUUGUUCAUGUUGCUGUUGAUCAUGUUGCUGCUGUUCAUGUUGCUGUUCAUGUUGCUGUUGUUCAUGUUGCUGUUGUUCAUGUUGCUGUUGUUCAUGUUGCUGUUGUUCAUGUUGCUGUUGAUCAUGUUGCUGUUGUUCAUGUUGCUGUUGAUCAUGUUGCUGCUGUUCAUGUUGCUGUUCAUGUUGCUGUUGUUCAUGUUGCUGAUCAUGUUGCUGUUCAUGUUGCUGUUGUUCAUGUUGCUGUUCAUGUUGCUGUUGUUCAUGUUGCUGCUGUUCAUGUUGCUGCUGUUCAUGUUGCUGUUGUUCAUGUUGCUGUUGUUCAUGUUGCUGUUGAUGUUGCUGUUGUUCAUGUUGCU
ensembl:lncRNA